rnacentral:snoRNA from 1 species
CCUCCUUCCUUGGUACGCACGCUGUCUUCUGUGUUAUGGAGGGACAUAAAGUCCAGUGCUUUGUCUGCAGUGCCAGAACGUUUCCAUUUUCUGGUUCUAUCCUCAGUUCCUGAUAUCUAC